rnacentral:lncRNA from 1 species
UAUUGUUCUGGUAACCCUGGCUACACUCUUCUGAACCAAGACAGACAUAUUGUUCUUGGUACCCUGGCUACACUCUUCUGAACAAGACAGACAUUUGUUCUGUAACCCUGGCUACACUCUGACCAAGACAGACAUAUUGUUCUGGUAACCCUGGCUACACUCUGAACCAAGACAGACAUAUUGUUCUGGUAACCCUGGCUACACUCUGAACCAAGACAGACAUAUUGUUCUGGUAACCCUGGCUACACUCUUCUGAACCAAGACAUAUUGUUCUGGUUACCCUGGCUACACUCUGAACCAAGACAUAUUGUUCUGGUAACCCUGGCUACACUCUUCUGAACCAAGACAGACAUAUUGUUCUGGUAACCCUGGCUACACUCUUCUGAACCAAGACAGACAUUUGUUCUGGUAACCCUGCUA